rnacentral:rRNA from 1 species
GGUUAAGUGACUAAGCGUACACGGUGGAUGCCUUGGCAGUCAGAGGCGAUGAAGGACGUAUUAACUUGCGAUAAGCCCAGAUUAGGUAGUAAAAACCAUUUGAGUCUGGGAUUUCCGAAUGGGGAAACCCACUAGCAUAAGCUAGUAUCGCUGCGUGAAUACAUAGCGCAGCGAGGCGAACCGGGGGAACUGAAACAUCUAAGUACCCCGAGGAAAAGAAAUCAACCGAGAUUCCGAAAGUAGCGGCGAGCGAAAUUGGAUUAGCCCUUAAGCUUUUUAUGCGUCAGGUGAAACUUCUGGAAAGUUGUGCGAUACAGGGUGAUAGCCCCGUAACCGGCAACGCAUAUAAAGUGAAAUCGAGUAGGGCGGGACACGUGAUAUCCUGUCUGAAUAUGGGGGGACCAUCCUCCAAGGCUAAAUACUACUGACUGACCGAUAGUGAACCAGUACCGUGAGGGAAAGGCGAAAAGAACCCCUGUGAGGGGAGUGAAAUAGAACCUGAAACCGUGUACGUACAAGCAGUAGGAGCACCUUCGUGGUGUGACUGCGUACCUUUUGUAUAAUGGGUCAGCGACUUAUAUUCAGUGGCAAGGUUAACCAUCUAGGGGAGCCGUAGGGAAACCGAGUCUUAACUGGGCGUUCAGUCUCUGGAUAUAGACCCGAAACCAGGUGAUCUAGCCAUGGGCAGGUUGAAGGUUGAGUAACAUCAACUGGAGGACCGAACCGACUAAUGUUGAAAAAUUAGCGGAUGACUUGUGGCUAGGGGUGAAAGGCCAAUCAAACCUGGAGAUAGCUGGUUCUCCCCGAAAGCUAUUUAGGUAGCGCCUCGGACGAAUACUACUGGGGGUAGAGCACUGUUAAGGCUAGGGGGUCAUCCCGACUUACCAACCCUUUGCAAACUCCGAAUACCAGUAAGUACUAUCCGGGAGACACACGGCGGGUGCUAACGUCCGUCGUGGAGAGGGAAACAACCCAGACCGCCAGCUAAGGUCCCAAAUUACUACUAAGUGGGAAACGAUGUGGGAAGGCUCAGACAGCCAGGAUGUUGGCUUAGAAGCAGCCAUCAUUUAAAGAAAGCGUAAUAGCUCACUGGUCGAGUCGGCCUGCGCGGAAGAUGUAACGGGGCUAAGUAGUAAACCGAAGCUGCGGCAAUGCACUUUGUGCAUUGGGUAGGGGAGCGUUCUGUAAGCGGUUGAAGGUGUGUGGUAACGCAUGCUGGACGUAUCAGAAGUGCGAAUGCUGACAUGAGUAACGAUAAAGGGGGUGAAAAACCUCCUCGCCGGAAGACCAAGGGUUCCUGUCCAACGUUAAUCGGGGCAGGGUAAGUCGACCCCUAAGGCGAGGCCGAAAGGCGUAGUCGAUGGGAAACGGGUUAAUAUUCCCGUACUUCUUACAAUUGCGAUGGGGGGACGGAGAAGGCUAGGUGGGCCUGGCGACGGUUGUCCAGGUUCAAGUGCGUAGGCUGAGAAAUUAGGUAAAUCCGGUUUCUCUUAAGGCUGAGACACGACGUCGAGCUACUACGGUAGUGAAGUCAUUGAUGCCAUGCUUCCAGGAAAAGCCUCUAAGCUUCAGAUUGUAAGGAAUCGUACCCCAAACCGACACAGGUGGUCGGGUAGAGAAUACCAAGGCGCUUGAGAGAACUCGGGUGAAGGAACUAGGCAAAAUGGUACCGUAACUUCGGGAGAAGGUACGCUCUCGACGGUGAAGUCCCUUGCGGAUGGAGCUAUUGAGAGUCGCAGAUACCAGGUGGCUGCAACUGUUUAUUAAAAACACAGCACUGUGCAAAAUCGUAAGAUGACGUAUACGGUGUGACGCCUGCCCGGUGCCGGAAGGUUAAUUGAUGGGGUUAGACUUCGGUCGAAGCUCUUGAUCGAAGCCCCGGUAAACGGCGGCCGUAACUAUAACGGUCCUAAGGUAGCGAAAUUCCUUGUCGGGUAAGUUCCGACCUGCACGAAUGGCGUAAUGAUGGCCACGCUGUCUCCACCCGAGACUCAGUGAAAUUGAAAUCGCUGUGAAGAUGCAGUGUACCCGCGGCUAGACGGAAAGACCCCGUGAACCUUUACUACAGCUUGGCACUGAACAUUGACCCUACAUGUGUAGGAUAGGUGGGAGGCUUUGAAACUAGUACGCCAGUAUUAGUGGAGCCGUCCUUGAAAUACCACCCUUGUAGUGUUGAUGUUCUAACGUCGACCCCUUAUCGGGGUUGCGGACAGUGCCUGGUGGGUAGUUUGACUGGGGCGGUCUCCUCCCAAAGCGUAACGGAGGAGCACGAAGGUGGGCUAAUCACGGUUGGACAUCGUGAGGUUAGUGCAAUGGCAUAAGCCCGCUUGACUGCGAGAAUGACAAUUCGAGCAGGUGCGAAAGCAGGUCAUAGUGAUCCGGUGGUUCUGAAUGGAAGGGCCAUCGCUCAACGGAUAAAAGGUACUCCGGGGAUAACAGGCUGAUACCGCCCAAGAGUUCAUAUCGACGGCGGUGUUUGGCACCUCGAUGUCGGCUCAUCACAUCCUGGGGCUGAAGUCGGUCCCAAGGGUAUGGCUGUUCGCCAUUUAAAGUGGUACGCGAGCUGGGUUUAGAACGUCGUGAGACAGUUCGGUCCCUAUCUGCCGUGGGCGUUGGAAGAUUGAAGGGGGCUGCUCCUAGUACGAGAGGACCGGAGUGGACGAACCUCUGGUGUUCGGGUUGUGUCGCCAGACGCAUUGCCCGGUAGCUAAGUUCGGAAUCGAUAACCGCUGAAAGCAUCUAAGCGGGAAGCGAGCCCUGAGAUGAGUCUUCCCUGAUACUUUAAGUAUCCUAAAGGGUUGUUCGAGACUAGAACGUUGAUAGGCAGGGUGUGUAAGCGUUGUGAGGCGUUGAGCUAACCUGUACUAAUUGCCCGUGAGGCUUAACCAU